UUAGAUUAUGCUUUUCCUAGAUGUGCAGAUGUGAGAGAUAACAAACCUGUCAUUGGAGCCAAUCAAUUUGAGUUAUUAAGAUUGGUCUUAUUCAGAUGGUCCAGAAUUCACAAUUUUUGAGGUAGCCCACUUGAAAAUCCCCAUUCUCAUUUGAAAAAAUUUCCGAUGAUAUGUGGUACUUAAAGAAAACCUAAAAUUCCAAAUGAAGUGAUUCGGCUAACCUUGUUCCCAUUCUCUCUUCGA
rnacentral:misc_RNA from 1 species